AGACAACAAACUAGAUACAGACACAUAAACAGAUAGAGAAAUAGCCAGAUACAUAUACAGGCAAAGUGAGAAACAGAAGUUUUACAAAACAUAUUUACAGCUAGCUAGCUAUGUGACAGAUAAACUAAACAAAAGUUGCCCAAAACAACAUUUCUUCCAAAUGUGGGUGUUUAAAUCUGAUAUUUUCUAUUUUAUAAUAUUCCGCUUCAUUGUUUUAAAAUGCUAGUUGUACUCAGUUGAUUUCAUGAACCUCCAGCAGGUCGUGACCAUAGUGUGAAAACACUGGUAUUGAAACCCCUAGUGGUACUCAGUUGAUUUCAUGAAUCUCCAGCAGGUCAUGACCAUAGUGUGAAAACACUGGUGUUGAAACCCUAACCAAGAGUGCACAGCCAGUGUGCAGCAGAAUGAGCCUCCAGUCACCAGCCCAGAGCUCUCAGACAGAAUUGAGUUCCCAUACAGUAGGACUUUCCACUCAUGUCUGCGGUCUAGGAGGAGAUUGGGUUGAGCAGCCACCAGGCACGAUGGAGCAACAAUUAACCCUGGAGUUGUGGAGGCAGGACCACAAGCCGAGAGAGGGCAGCAGUGGAAACCCAGCCAAACUAUUAAUGGAAGGCUGGGUCCCAUUCUUUAUUAUCCUUCUGUGGUCUCAUCACCAGCGGGGUGAGCCAAAGCCGAGGGCAAGAACACGCUGGGUGACCUUCCACACCCCAAAUGCAAGAUCAAGUGCUGUGGAGAAGGUGUGGCAAAAAGGAGAAAAUGUGGCACAUAUACACCAUGGAAUACUAUGCAGCCAUAAAAAAGGAUGAGUUUGUGUCCUUUGUAGGGACAUGGAUGCAGCUGGAAACCAUCAUUCUUAGCAAACUAUCACAAGAACAGAAAACGAAACACCGCAUGUUCUCACUCAUAGGUGGGAACUGAACAAUGAGAUCAUUCGGACUCGGGAAGGGGAACAUCACACACCGGGGCCUAUCAUGGGGAGGGGGGAGAGGGGAGGAAUUGCAUUGGGAGUUAUACCUGAUGUAAAUGACGAGUUGAUGGGUGCUGACGAGUUGAUGGGUGCAGCACACCAACAUGGCACAAGUAUACAUAUGUAACAAACCUGCACGUUAUGCACAUGUACCCUAGAACUUAAAGUAUAAUAAAAAUAAAAAAUAAAUAAAUAAAUAAAUAAAUAAAUAAAAAGAAAUACUAAAAAAAAAAAACAGUAGUUAAAAUCUACUCAUUUAGCAUGAAUCCCAAAACCAACACAAUUUUAUUACCUAUAUUCCUUAUGUUGUACAUUAGAUAUCUAGACUUGUUCAUCCUACACAUCUGCUACUUUGUAUCCUCUGACCUACAUCUCUCCAUUUCCUCCCCAUCAUCCCCUCCCACCUCGACUCCUGGUAACCACUGUUUUGUUCUCCAUCUCUGUAUAUUCGAUUUUUCUUUUUUUGAUUUCACAUAUGAGUGAGAUCAUGCAUUCUUCUAUUUUUUUUCAAUGUCUGGCUUAUUUCAUUUAGAAUAAUGUCCUCCAGGCUGAUCUAUGUUGGGGAAAAUGGCAAGAUCUCAUUUCUGUUAUUUAUUUGUUUUUAAGGCUGAAUGGUACACCAUUUUAUAUGUGCACACACACACGUGUGUGUGUAUAUAAAUAUAUAGAUAGAUACGUAUAUACAUACAUACACACAUAAAAUAGUUUCUUUAUCCAUUCAUCUGUUGACAAACCGGUUGUUUCCAUAACUUGCCUAUUGUUAAUAAAGCUACAAUAAACAUGGGAGUGCAGGUAUCUUUACCUUUGGAAGGUGGUCAUUUUGUAACCUUUUGCUUUAUGCCUGGAAGAGUAGUAGCUGGACCAAAGGGCAUUUCCAUUGUUAAUUUCAUUAGAAACCUCCAUACUGUUUUCCAUAAUGGCUAAACUUAUCUACACUUUCACCAACAGUCUACAAGAAUUUGUUUCCUUUUCUCUCACACUUUCUCCAACAUUUGUUAUCUUUUGAAAUUUGAUAAUAGUCAGUAAUCCUAAUGCAUGUGAAGUUGUAUCUUGUAGUGGCUUUGAUGUACAUUUCCCUAAUGAUUAAUGAUGUUCAGCACUUCUUAAUUUAUCUAUUGUUCAUUUUUAUGCUUUCUUUAGAGAAAUGUCUAUUCAGGUCUUUUACCCAUUUUUUUUUAAAUUGGGUUAUUUGGCUUUCUACUAUUGAGUUGUAUGAUAUUAACCUCUUAUCAGAUACAUGGUUUGCAAAUAUUAUUUUUUGACAUGUAGUUUGCCAUUUCAUUUUUUUUUUUCUGUGCAGAAGCUUUUAGCCUGUUAUAGUCCCAUUUAUUUAUUUUUGCUCUUACGGCCUGAGCUUUUAGUGUGAUAUCCAAAAAAAUCAUUGCCAAGGACAAUGUCUAAGAGCUUUCCCCUUAUGUUCUAGUCUAGAAAUUUAAUAGUUUCUGGUCUUAGCUUUGAGUCUUUCAUCCAUGGUGUAAACUAAGGGUCUAAUUUUAUUCUUUUGCAUGUGAAAACACAGUUUUUCCUAGCACAAUUCAUUGAAGAGACUGCUCUUUUCUCAUUAUGUCCUGUCGGUGCCUUUGUCAAAAAUUAGUUGACCAUAUGUGUUUGGGUUUAUUUCUGGGCUCUGUAUUCUAUUCCUUUGGUCUAUGUGUUUGUUUCCAUGCCAGUAACAUACUUUUUUUGUUUAGUAUAGCUUUGUAAUAUAGUUUUAAAUAAAAAAUAAAAUGCUUCCAACUUUUUUUUCCUCAGAGUUGAAACAUAAUAUUUCUGGAGGCUGGAAGUCUGAGAUCCAC
ensembl:lncRNA